UAGAGUUUGAUCCUGGCUCAGGACGAACGCUGGCGGCGUGCCUAACACAUGCAAGUCGAGCGGAGUAUAUUUAAGUGAAGUUUUCGGAUGGAACUUAAAUAUACUUAGCGGCGGACGGGUGAGUAACGCGUGAGCAACCUGCCUUUCACAAAGGGAUAGCCUCGGGAAACUGGGAUUAAUACCAUAUGAUACUUAACUUUCGCAUGAAAGAUAAGUUAAAGCGUAUAAGCGGUGAAAGAUGGGCUCGCGUCCUAUUAGCUAGUUGGUGAGGUAACGGCUCACCAAGGCGACGAUAGGUAGCCGGCCUGAGAGGGUGAACGGCCACACUGGAACUGAGACACGGUCCAGACUCCUACGGGAGGCAGCAGUGGGGGAUAUUGCACAAUGGAGGAAACUCUGAUGCAGCGACGCCGCGUGAGUGAAGAAGGCCUUCGGGUCGUAAAGCUCUGUCCUAGGGGAAGAUAAUGACGGUACCCUAGGAGGAAGCCCCGGCUAACUACGUGCCAGCCGCCGCGGUAAUACA
rnacentral:rRNA from 1 species